rnacentral:snRNA from 1 species
GGAUAUGAGUUACCUGAUGUGACAUCUCUCACCUUCCUGAUCAGGGGUUGAUUUGACUGAUCGGGCUGGCUAGGCAGGAGUCCACCCCUUCCCUCCAUGUUCACCUCUUCUGAAGCUGUGUGCUUGGUGAGAGAGGACAACGUUCCCCAAGACAGGUCCGUUCUUCAGUCAAGGGUGUAUGAACAGCUGUGCUCGCACCUCUGUGCUGAAAGUUUCUGUUGACUUGACACAAACCAAGACACACUGGGGGAAGAGGGAAUCU